rnacentral:rRNA from 1 species
UACGGGGGGAGCAAGCGUUGUUCGGAUUUACUGGGCGUAAAGGGCGCGUAGGCGGUCGUGACAAGUCACUUGUGAAAUCUCCGGGCUUAACUCGGAACGGUCAAGUGAUACUGUCGGACUAGAGUACAGAAGGGGCAACUGGAAUUCUCGGUGUAGCGGUGAAAUGCGCAGAUAUCAGGAGGAACACCGGUGGCGAAGGCGGGUCUCUGGGCAGUAACUGACGCUGAGGAGCGAAAGCGUGGGGAGCGAACAGG